UAAACUGAACUUGCUUUUCCCUUCAAUCACAGACCCCUCAACCUCCCACACUGAAGAAAACAAAACAGCAGAAGCAGGCUCCUCCACUCCCACCAAUGCAUCAAACACACCUGCAAAUACCAAUAAAGGUUCAGGAGAUGAAGGUAUGUUUCACUUUUUGCCCAUGCUAUUUCUUUUAUGCUGUUAUUCUUGUGAUGCUUCCAGACAGUUAUGACUGUUGGUUAUUAUAUGUGUGUAUGUAUAUGUGUGUAAGGUAUGUGUCACAGUGUUUUCUUAGACAUCAGUUGCAAGUUUUGGGUCAAUAUAUAUAUUUUGUUUACAUAUUGUUUCACGGUGUUCAUCCGUCAUUACAGUCCCUCGGCCCUCUACUUCUCCCAUUGCAUCAAACACACCUGCAAAUACCAAUGAAGGUAAAGCCAACAUCAUCUCAUCAAACUCACACUCCUGCAUUAUUAUACUCUCAUGCACAAUCUCUCACACUCUGACCUCCAGCUUCCUAUCAUGCCAUGCCAGACAAACGUCACUAAACAAGAGAUUUAUUAAUUUACAUUUGAUUGACUGAUUGAUUGAUUGAUUGAUUGAUUGAAAGUGAGGCUAG
ensembl:lncRNA